GGAGUUGUGGUUCAGUGGUAGAGCACUUGCCUGACAUGCAUGAGGCCCUGGGUUCAAUCCUCAGCACCA
rnacentral:tRNA from 1 species